rnacentral:rRNA from 1 species
UACGUAGGUGGCAAGCGUUGUCCGGAAUCAUUGGGCGUAAAGCGCGCGUAGGCGGCUCGGUAAGUCCGCUGUAAAAGUCCAGGGCUCAACCCUGGAAAGCCGGUGGAUACUGUCGGGCUAGAGUCCGGAAGAGGCGAGUGGAAUUCCUGGUGUAGCGGUGGAAUGCGCAGAUAUCAGGAGGAACACCGAUGGCGAAGGCAGCUCGCUGGGACGGUACUGACGCUGAGGCGCGAAAGCGUGGGGAGCGAACAGG